GUCGCAGAGGGUCCCAAGUUCGAUCCUUGGUGCAGCCAGGUUGCAUAGUCUAGUGGUUAUGAUAUCUGCUUCACAUA
rnacentral:tRNA from 1 species